rnacentral:rRNA from 1 species
UAGGGAAUCUUCCACAAUGGACGCAAGUCUGAUGGAGCAACGCCGCGUGAGUGAAGAAGGUUUUCGGACCGUAAAGCUCUGUUGUUGGUGAAGAAGGAUAGAGGUAGUAACUGGCCUUUAUUUGACGGUAAUCAACCAGAAAGUCACGGCUAACUACGUGCCAGCAGCCGCGGUAAUACGUAGGUGGCAAGCGUUGUCCGGAUUUAUUGGGCGUAAAGCGAGCGCAGGCGGAAGAAUAAGUCUGAUGUGAAAGCCCUCGGCUUAACCGAGGAAUUGCAUCGGAAACUGUUUUCUUGAGUGCAGAAGAGGAGAGUAGAACUCCAUGUGUAGCGGUGGAAUGCGUAGAUAUAUGGAAGAAUACCAGUGGCGAAGGCGGCUCUCUGGUCUGCAACUGACGCUGAGGCUCGAAAGCAUGGGUAGCGAACAGGAUUAGAUACCCUGGUAGUCCAUGCCGUAAACGAUGAGUGCUAAGUGUUGGGAGGUUUCCGCCUCUCAGUGCUGCAGCUAACGCAUUAAGCACUCCGCCUGGGGGAGUACGACCGCAAGGUUGAAAC